AACGAACGCUGGCGGCGUGCUUAACACAUGCAAGUCGAACGAGAAAGCGGGCUUCGGUCCGCUAGUAAAGUGGCAGACGGGUGAGUAACACGUGGGUAACCUGCCCGGAGGUGGGGGACAACCCUCCGAAAGGAGGGCUAAUACCGCAUGAUAUCCCUGAGGCUUCGGCCUUGAGGAUCAAAGCUAGCCUCUACAUGUAAGCUAGCUCCACCGGAGGGGCCCGCGGCCCAUUAGCUAGUUGGGAGGUAACGGCUCACCAAGGCGACGAUGGGUAGCCGGCCUGAGAGGGUGUUCGGCCACACUGGAACUGAGACACGGUCCAGACUCCUACGGGAGGCAGCAGUGAGGAAUCUUGCGCAAUGGGCGAAAGCCUGACGCAGCGACGCCGCGUGGAGGACGAAGGUCUUCGGAUCAUAAACUCCUGUCAAGUGGGACGAAGGCUGUUGGGAUGAAUAAGCCCAGCAGUUGACGGUACCGCUGAAGGAA
rnacentral:rRNA from 1 species